UGGUGGAGUGAUUUGUCUGGUUAAUUCCGUUAACGAACGAGACCUCAGCCUACUAACUAGACGCGAUAAUCAAACGAUUCACGCGCGCUUCUUAGAGGGACUAUCGGUGAUUAACCGAUGGAAGUUUGAGGCAAUAACA
rnacentral:rRNA from 1 species